rnacentral:lncRNA from 1 species
GACUAUCGAUUUAUUAUGUCCUAGUAAUAAGCACCUAAUCAAUUGAAAAUGUAGGCAUGUUACAAUUAUUGUUUGAGAUGGAUUUAGUUGAACCUUUUUAUUUUUUUGAGGCAAAUUUUAUUUAUUUAUUUUAGAAGGGAGUUUAGUUGCACAUUAAAUGUGCAAAUGCUUUUCAUUUUUCAUUAAAUGUGCCAAUGUUUUUUUCUUUUCUUUUUCCUAAUUUCCCUUCAUAUGGUAUGUGACGUUGAAUAGACAUACGAAUUGUCAUUAUGUCAAUUUAUAGUUUUAAUUAAUGACUUCAAACUUUUUCUACGUUUUAAUAAUUUCGUUUGCUUGUUUUUGUCACGCAAUUAGUAACUUGCAUCUAAUGGUAUGAUGAAUUUGGAUUCGACUCCAGAUUAUUACAAACAAAUCAAAAUUAAUGGCAAACAGUUAUUGCAAAU